rnacentral:rRNA from 1 species
AGAACGAACGUUAGCGGUGUGACUUAGGCAUGCAAGUCGCGCGUGAAAGUCGUAAGACGAGUAAAGCGGCGAAAGGGUGCGUAACACGUAAUCAAUCUACCCUCGAGACUGGGAUAGCCACUGGAAACGGUGGGUAAGACCAGAUGGUCCACUGGGAGGCAUCUCCUGGCUGGUAAACGGUGGCGUAAGCUGCUGCUCGGGGGAGGAGGUUGCGGGCUAUCAGCUAGGUUGGUGGGGUAACGGCUCACCAAGGCGAUGACGGCUACCGGGUCUGAGGAGGACGGUCCGGCACACGUGGGACUGAGAACUGCCCAGACUCCGUACGGGAGGCUGCAGUCGUGAAUCUUCCGCAAGUGGGACAAGCCUAGGACGGAGCGACACCGCGUGUAGGAUGGAACGGUCCUUACGGGUUAGUAAACUUACGUGUCCUACGUUCGUA